rnacentral:rRNA from 1 species
UACGUAGGGUGCGAGCGUUGUCCGGAAUUAUUGGGCGUAAAGCGCACGUAGGCGGCCUGAUAAGUCGGGUGUGAAAGCCCUGGGCUCAACCCAGGAAGUGCACUCGAAACUGUCAGGCUUGAAUAUGGAAGAGGGUCGCGGAAUUCCCGGUGUAGCGGUGAAAUGCGUAGAGAUCGGGAGGAACACCAGAGGCGAAGGCGGCGACCUGGACAGGCACUGACACUCAACUACGAAAGCGUGGGGAGCAAACAGG